rnacentral:rRNA from 1 species
CUAAGAAUAUUCCGCAAUGGACGAAAGUCUGACGGAGCGACGCCGCGUGGAUGAUGAAGGCCGGAAGGUUGUAAAAUCCUUUUAUGACUGAGGAAUAAGUGAAGUGAGGGAAACGCUUCAUGGUGACUGUAGGUCAUGAAUAAGCAACGGCUAAUUACGUGCCAGCAGCCGCGGUAACACGUAAGUUGCGAGCGUUGUUCGGAAUUAUUGGGCGUAAAGGGUAUGUAGGCGGUUCUGCAAGUCUGGUGUGAAAUGCCGGGGCUCAACCCCGGAACUGCGUUGGAAACUGCAGGACUUGAAUCGCUGAGGGGCAGCCAGAAUUCCAGGUGUAGGGGUGAAAUCUGUAGAUAUCUGGAGGAACACCAGUGGCGAAGGCGGCCUACUGGGCACCAACUGACGCUGA